GGGGCAUUCCAAGGCAGGGCGGUAAUUCGGGGGAGGAUCCCUCACUCCCACUGGGAGCAAAGGCCCAGCUGCAGAUCACAAUCGCCAUCGUGGCUUUUUUUUGUUUGGUUUUUUUUUGACUGCUUGGGGCGGCAAACCCCCCGGAGCCAGCCCUGAGGCUUUUAGCUAAUUCUUACUAACUGAACUAAAAUGUAUUAAAAAAGUGAAGAGAGUGUUGGUUAAGAGAUCAGUACACACACAGGGAGAUGAGCACAGUUCUCAGCUCAGGUUCAUAGCAGAGAUGGUGAGCACUGUAGGUGCCAAGAUUUCUCUCAGGAUUACUCCCUAGGUAAUGGUCCCACCGGCAGCGUGGUGGGAGCCUGCUCCAGGAGAGGACCUGUGCCAAACGUUGGCUCUCGUGCAUCCCAGGCUGGUAAGAAAAUGCCCAGUUCCGAGCUGAAUAACACAAAGGAUCCAACGGGAGCGCCCACUAGUCCCUGCGGGUAGAAUUGGCAACUCCAGAGCGGUAAUGAAAAGGCUGAUUGGAAACACAAGCGCCUCAACCGGGAGAUUUGUUUCUGCUGCGGGGGAUUAUCCCCGGCUUCCCUGGCUCACACUCAGUGCACAUGGAUCCGGUAACGAUGAGCAGCGACACAAACGCAAACGUUGAUUUCUCUGUCCUUAAAGAAGGGGGCAAAUGCAAAUGGAGCGACAACAUUUCCUGUCACACCCCCGCCGUGUCACCGACCCUGCAGGAGACAAAAGCUGCAGCCCCACGUGUCUGCAGUGAACACCCACAACUCCCACUGGGGAAUUCACGCCGAGCUUAGCGGAAGAUGCUCCUGUGGCUGCAUGUUGCUGUCAUGGCGGCACUUCCCCAAGGGGCCCAUUCGCAGGUUCAGCUGGUGGAGUCUGGGGGAGACGGGAAAAUGGCAGGAGAUUCUAUCAACAUCUCGUGUAAAGCCUCCGGGUUCACCUUUGGUGACUACUGGAUGCACUGGUACCGGCAGGCUCCCGGGAAAGCACCCCAGUGGGUGUCCGGCAUUAGCUAUUGGGCCGGAACCGACAAGAGAUACGCUGUGUCGGUGAAAGGGCGAUUCACCAUCUCCAGAGACAACCCCAACAACCUGCUGUAUCUGCAAAUGACCGGCCUGAAACCCGAGGACGCAGCGAUGUAUUAUUGUCAGAGAGACACAGUGACUUGGCAGGGAAUCUAACCACGUACAAAAACAUCCCCUUUGCCGGCACAGCCCAGGGGAAGGGUCAGACACACACAGAACUGAACCAAGGAGAAAAGUCCCCAGCGCUGUACUCAUCACGCAGGAAAAUAUAAUUUUUGGAGCCCGGUGAAGGCUGCAAAGACGCCAAGGCUGCGACGCAUUCGGAGAGCUGCAGCCUCUCCUCCUGUCCCGGGGGGACACAUUCCAACUUCCGCAACCCAUGAGCCGGGGGCCUACAGACCACAGUGCCCUUCAUUGCCCGGU